GACACUUUGGCCGAGUGGUUAAGGCGAUGCCCUGCUAUCAUCAUGAUAUCUUCAGGCAUUGUGUUCGCACGCGCAGGUUCGAAUCCUGCAGGUGUCG